UAUUUGCGACAUCGACUGCCUUUUUAAUCAUUAAAGAAAAAUCAAACCUACAACACUGUUUUAGAAAAACAGAUGGGAAACUGAGUAUUACCUCCUCGGACACCAAAGAAAAAGUCAAUGGUGAAAAAACGUGCCACCAGGACGGGAGCAAUCCGUAUGACAUUGCUUGGAGUUAAUGUGAAAUUUGGCCAACAUUCUUAACAUUAAUACAUCUCCAGAUGGAUAUAAUUCUCCGAUUCAUUGAUCAAAUGACAUUUGUGUAGGGCAUGCAGAUUUUCUUUUUCCGGGAUGUUUGGAACUAGACCAUCUGUGUAUAAAGAGUUGUUGAAAAUGGAAAUAUCGUAUCCCAGUGCUAGAUGUCGCUAUUAUUUUCUCCCUCGUUUACUCCUCCGAAAAUAAAUCUUUCCUUGACUAAUUUGAAUAAACAACCACAAACAUA